GCUGCCUCGGGAAGCAGAUGUGUUGCUUCCCCUUCAACCAUGGCGUAAGUUUCCUGAGACCUCCCCCGCCACGGUGAACGGAUGAAUCGCUCCAUGGACGGCACGGUCUGAAGUAAUCAAUAUCAAUUUUCAAGACAGCUGAAAUGUCCGAUGAACCACACGGCAGCCGGGUGCAGCGGCCAUGAGCUGCUGUCACUUCCCAGUUACUGUGAAAAGGAGAAAUAAACACCUGUCAGGCCCUCCUACCCACGGAGGCGGGCGGUCUGCAGAAUCUUGUUCAACAGGCUGUGUUUUCUAUGCCACACCGUGAGCUUGGGUCUUCACCUCUGUAAACACAGAGUAUGUUGGUGGAAGCAAAGGGAUGUGACGAUUUUCUAAGAUGGGAAGCAGGAAACUGGACCUUUGAAUAAAUUAGGUUUUAUUUAUGUGAAUAUACGUGGCUGUACUUCACUCAUUUUCACUGUUGGAAAGUGGCCAUUGGGUUGAUACAUUGCGAUUUACUGUUCACUCCCCAGAUCAGGAUUUUUAAACACGCAUUUAAAAUAUGAGUGCUGCUUCCCUUGCCUGGAGCUGGAUGCCCGCACCUGACGACCGAGCUCGGAGGUUAAUUCCUACAGGCAAGACAAGCUGUGAUCACAGGAGAUUCAGAAAUCUCAAGAUGGACAUCUGGCUUGAGUAACACCCUACAUAAACAUCAAAAACCCCAUUGAGGCUGAAGGACUGAAACUGUGACCCAUGUUUUAAAAAAAAGAGAGAGAGAGAGAGCUGUGAGUGCACAAAAGGAUUCAUGUAAACUCUGCUGGGACAGAGGGUCGUGGUGGAGGGUUAUUACACACCGGGACGGAGGGUUGUCCUGGUGGAGGGUGGUUCCACACUAGGACGGAGGGUCAUGUGGAGGGUUAUUACACACUGGGACGGAGGGUUGUUGCUGUGGAGGGUUGUUCCACACUGAGACAGAGGGUGGUGGUGAAGGGUUGUUCCACACUGGGACGGAGGGACCCCCCAACAAGCCCCAGCGUGUGAUGUUCCCCUCCCUAUGUCCAUGUAUUCUCAUUGUUCAACUCCCACUUAUGAGUGAGAAUAUGCGGUGUUUGGUUUU